UUAUUUAUCCAAUCUCAAAGUUCCUUUGUGUCUAGUCAUGAGAAGUACUUUUCUUUGGUCCAAGUCUUAUUACCUGUGACCAUGUUUUUUCUUUUUUCUGUCUAGUCAUGAGAAGCAGACACGAAUUGGGUUAAUCCUUUUGAGCUGAUUCCCCUUAGUUAUAUGAUAUUUUUAUGCUUAUGACUGCCAUAAACAAAAGACAACGAGUCACUAACUCUUAAAAAUGUUAACAAGUAAUGGCCACGAAAUCCCUGUUGAAUGGCAUGCUACAAUCAUUUAGUGUGAGAUGGAGUGGUUUGCAUCACGUGGUUAACAAAUUGGGUUAUGACCCUAGUCACCGGAGUUCCCGGAACGACGGAUCGAGGAACGACGAACCGGGAACGGGAACGACGUUUAGAUGCAAUUUUUACACUGUGGGAACGAUUUCGUUCCCGCGUUCCCGUCCCGAACACUCGUUCCUGGAACGUGGAACGCUGCAUCGUUCCCGUUCCGCGGUGACUAGGGUUAUGACUCUGUGAGAUGGAGUGGUCCUUGGCAUCAAAUUUACUUUUAAGUUUCUCCCAACAGUUUUUCCCCCUUGUCUUCUUUAUUUAUUUGGAACCAACUAAGGCUGCGUUGGUUGAUAUAGGAGACGCGUAGUGCGGAAGCGACGCCCGGUGCGUUUCCUCCUUCUCUCUUUCUCCUUCCUCUUCCCCCCAUCGAAUAGAUCUCGCCGCCGCCGCCGCCCAGCCGCUCUCUGGCCCCUUCCCUCUCGGUCCCGGCGUCCUCGCCGCACCGGGUAGGGAAAGGGGCCCCACCCUCCCUCCCUCCUGUACAGCCUAUAGGAGUCCCGAUGGGGUCUCCCCUGGUGGUCGCCUUCGCCGUCGUUGUCUCUGCUGCUGCAGUUCCCGCCGCCGACGAGGCUCCUACCAAGAUCUGUGCUCGGUCUCCCCCUCCUCUUCCACCUCGCCUUCCUCGCGCCACCCCCCAGAUCUGUGCUACUCCGACCCGCAUCCACCGUGUCCCGCCUCCGCCUCCUCCUCUACUAUGCAGCCAUCGCAUCCGCCGAUCCAGACAGGUCUUCUUGCGGCGUUGUCGCGUCGACUUCGUCUCCACCGGGAUCCCGACUUGGAGCUCCAUCUUCUUCCCCCAGCGACGGCAACAACCUUAUUCUUCGGUCGCUUGGCGCAUGCUUCAUCACCGGCUUCGUCGCCCCACCCUCAACCGACGCUUGGCGCGGCCUUCCACCUGGGUGUAUGCGUCUUCGGCGCCUCUACGACCCCCCACCGGCGAAUUCGUCGUCGUCAACGCCUUCGUUAUAGCUGUCGUGCUUAUCCGGUCUUUGGACCCAGAUGUAAUUUGGUCUUCCUUGGAGGACCUUUCUGUAAAAUGGCUGCUUAAUAUAUAAUAUAUGCAGUUGUCAAAAAAAAAAGGCUGCGUUCGGUUA